UGUUUCUCCCUAAAUUUUCUCUGAAAAAAUCCCUAAUCUCCUUCAUCCCAAAAAAAUGUUCGAUUCUUCUUCAUCUUCUCCGUGACCGAGGAUCUUAGUCCAAAUAGGUUGAUGACUCUUCAACUGACUCGAUCGUUUCAUGGGGAAAAAACAAUAACAUUUUUGUUGUUUUGAAUGCUACCGAUUUCGCGAAAUAUAUCUUGCCUAAGUAUUUUAAGCAUAACAACUUCUCAAGCUUUGUCAGGCAGUUGAACACAUAUCCUCUAUUUCAUGAUGGGAUGAAAGAAUGGAGUUGCUGCAAGAAAAGAAGUCAUGAUUUUAGCUUGUUUUUGGAAAUUCCAGGACACUUGCUGAAGGGGCAAUGGUUGGUUACACUGAGAAAGGAAUGCAAAAUUCUCAAGAUAUACUAGUAAGGAUGAAUGAAAGAAACUUUUUGAAGUUUGAAGUUUGAAAAAUGAAAAAGCACUUACUGAUAAGCCAAGCUGUUCAAUAAGCUUCUCAACUCUCUGCCUCUUAUCAGCAACUGGCAAUGGCCCCAAUCUGAAAUCAGCAGCAAACAUCAAAGUUUCAUAGACAAUAAGCAUAUGCAAGUUUUGUGUCAACUCACAGGCUUAUGCUUUAUGUCAAUCACAGUUUCAUGACCUUUGGUAAGUUUUGUGUUCAUUCUCUUGAAAUGCAAGUUAAGUUUUGGUAAAAUGUUUGAGAGAGCUCAGAUUAACAUAGCAUGUUCUUAAUGGCUCCUAAACUGAGGGGAUGGUGU